UGGGGGAACCCAGCAUGAGUUAUGUCAUGUUAUCGACAUGUGAAUUCAUAGCAUGUCAGAAGGCAGACCCGGAGAACUGAAACAUCUUAGUACCCGGAGGAAGAGAAAGAAAAAUCGAUUCUCUGAGUAGCGGCGAGCGAAACGGGAAGAGCCCAAACCAACAAGCUUGCUUGUUGGGGUUGUAGGACACUCUAUACGGAGUUACAAAAGAACAUGUUAGACGAAUCAUCUGGAAAGAUGAAU
rnacentral:rRNA from 1 species